rnacentral:lncRNA from 1 species
AUAAAAAAUAUGAGAAUGCGAAUGCAAGAUUGCAAUACAUAAUCUUCGUAUAUCUCAAAAUUCAUAACUUCAAAAGUAAAGCCACAAGUGGAACAAGCUACUUCAGACAAAUUUCAGAUUUAUCUUGCUAGUGUGAGGUACUGAAAUUAAAUGGAGGGAAUUCAAACAAUAGAGUUAAAGCAUGUAGAUCACAUUGCUAUGUUUACUUGUCUUAAUUGAAGACCAAGAAUGUGAGUUAAGCAUGAUCCGAAGGUGCACCACCUAUUCACAAAUAUAACUCAGCACCAACACAAACACACAAUCGUAAAAAAAACAUAAUUCAAAGCGUUACUACACGCCCGAACCUAACAUUCUCACAAAAGCAC